UACGGAGGGGACUAGCGUUGUUCGGAAUUACUGGGCGUAAAGCGCACGUAGGCGGAUUUGUAAGUCAGGGGUGAAAUCCCGGGGCUCAACCUCGGAACUGCCUUUGAUACUGCAAAUCUCGAGUCCGGAAGAGGUGAGGUGGAAUUCCUAGUGUAGAGGUGAAAAUUCGUAGAUAUUAGGAAGAACAACCAGUGGCGAAGGCGGCUCACUGGCCGGUACUGACGCUGAGAAGCGGAAAAGCAUGGGGGAGCGAACAGGGA
rnacentral:rRNA from 1 species